GCCAUUUGGGAUAGUUCAAUUGGUAGAGUGUGAGGCUCUUAAUAUCAGGGUUGUGGGUUCGAGCCCCACAUUGGGGCA